rnacentral:tRNA from 1 species
AUUUAUAAAGUUUAUAAAACAUUUCAUUUUCAUUGAGAAGAGAAGCAAAACGCUUUAUAAAUA